rnacentral:misc_RNA from 1 species
GAAAUGCGAUAAGUAAUGUGAAUUGCAGAAUUCAGUGAAUCAUCGAAUCUUUGAACGCACAUUGCGCCCGCCAGUAUUCUGGCGGGCAUGCCUGUUCGAGCGUCAUUUCAACCAUCAAGCCCCCCGGCUUGUGUUGGGGACCUGCGGCUGCCGCAGGCCCUGAAAAGCAGUGGCGGGCUCGCUGUCACACCGAGCGUAGUAGCAUACAUCUCGCUCUGGGCGUGCUGCGGGUUCCGGCCGUUAAACCACCUUCGUAAUCCAAGGUUGACCUCGGAUCAGGUAGGAAGACCCGCUGAACUUAAGC